CCUACGGGAGGCAGCAGUGGGGAAUAUUGCACAAUGGGGGAAACCCUGAUGCAGCAACGCCGCGUGAGGGAUGACGGCCUCCGGGUGUUAAAGUUCGUUCGUCAGGGACGAAAAUGACGGUACCCGAGGAGGAAGCAACGGCUAACUACGUGCCAGCAGCCGCGGUAAUACGGAGGGGGCGAGCGUUGUCCGGAUUUACUGGGCGUAAGGGGUUCGUAGGCGGCACUUAAAGUCGGGUGUUAAAUGCUCAGGCUCAACUUGAGUACUGCAUUUGAUACUGGAGGGCUAGAAUGCGGUAGAGGAGAAGGGAAUUCCUGGUGUAGCGGUGAAAUGCGUAGAGAUUAGGAAGAACACCGGUGGCGAAGGCGAUUCACUGGGCCGUAACUGACGCUGAGGAUCGAAAGCGUGGGUAGCAAACAGGAUUAGAUACCCGGGUAGUC
rnacentral:rRNA from 1 species